rnacentral:rRNA from 1 species
GUGUCAGCAGCCGCGGUAAUACGUAGGGUGCAAGCGUUAAUCGGAAUUACUGGGCGUAAAGCGUGCGCAGGCGGUUUUGUAAGACAGAGGUGAAAUCCCCGGGCUCAACCUGGGAACUGCCUUUGUGACUGCAAGGCUUGAGUGCGGCAGAGGGGGAUGGAAUUCCGCGUGUAGCAGUGAAAUGCGUAGAUAUGCGGAGGAACACCGAUGGCGAAGGCAAUCCCCUGGGCCUGCACUGACGCUCAUGCACGAAAGCGUGGGGAGCAAACAGGAUUAGAUACCCUAGUAGUCC